rnacentral:rRNA from 1 species
UACGUAGGGCGCAAGCGUUAUCCGGAAUUAUUGGGCGUAAAGAGCUCGUAGGCGGUUUGUCGCGUCUGCCGUGAAAGUCCGGGGCUCAACUCCGGAUCUGCGGUGGGUACGGGCAGACUAGAGUGAUGUAGGGGAGACUGGAAUUCCUGGUGUAGCGGUGAAAUGCGUAGAUAUCUGAAGGAACAUCAGUGGCGAAAGCGACUUCCUGGACGAAUACUGACGCUCAUGUGCGAAAGCGUGGGGAGCAAACAGG